UACGUAGGGGGCGAGCGUUGUCCGGAUUUAUUGGGCGUAAAACGCUUGUAGGCGGCCACCGCGCGUCGGACGUGAAAUCUCCCGGCUCAACUGGGAGGGGUCGUGCGAUACGGCGGGGCUCGAGGCCGGUAGGGGGACGCGGAAUUCCCGGUGUAGUGGUGGAAUGCGUAGAGAUCCGGAAGAACACCAAAGGCGAAGGCAGCGUCCUGGCGAGCAACUGACGCUCAUGUGCGAAAGCUAGGGGAGCGAACGGG
rnacentral:rRNA from 1 species